UUGAAAAAUAGCUGCAGUCUCGGUUUCUAGCCGUGCAUGUCUACUCAGAAGUCAGCCCCAUUGAACUCAGUAGGGCUUGCUCUCAGAUUAGAAAAUGACUAGAAAGAUCAGACAAGAUUUUGAACUAUGGCUCACUGAAGAUUAUCAGCCCGGUCUCAAAGCAAAACAACAACAGUUCAAUACAAACUUAUUAAAACAGAAUGAUGUUA